rnacentral:tRNA from 1 species
CGCUGAGUGCGGCGGUCUCUUCGUCCCGGUCCUUGCGGAGGACCGGGACGGUGACGAUGUCGGUGCCGGAAUCGGCCUCGGUGUC